rnacentral:lncRNA from 1 species
GGGAAUAAAGAAUGUAAGAGGAGGCAAUGCAAUCUCUUCUUUCUCGUUGAUGGGGAUAGAGAGAGGGGCUAUCUGAGUUGAUUACAUGUAAAUAAGCCUUAGGAUUUUUUUUUCUUUAAGGACCAUCUGGAAGAGGCAGCUGUACUGCAUCUUCACUAAAGCUAGAAGAGGAAGUAGUGGGCUUAAGCUUCCACACAGGGAUUUGGGUUAAAUAUAAGAAAAUAUUUCCUUACAAGAAGAUUUGUAAACAUUGGUACUGGGUAAAGAAGGAGGUGGCGUAAUCACAUUCCCUGGAGGACUUUACCACAGAAGAGAUUGCUGUCAAAUUAAGAUGAUUUUCUGUGCGUGCCUACAAGAAGCAGACUCAUAUAUUCCGUCUCUGAGGAAAAUGGCUCCGUAAAAGUCUCCUGAACAGGCACUCCAAUCUCACAAGGGGGCUCUCCUGGCCGGGACUAAAAGGGAGCCUUCCAUAGGCCAUCCAACUCUUCUAUAAGUGAGCUGCUUUAGGACAAUGGACUAUUUGAUAAAGCCAAUAAUCCCAUGAGCAGCAGCAACUCGCCUGAUUUCAUUCACUAAAAACCAGCUCAUGGCUAGAGAAAUAUUUUGAUGAAGUAAAAGAGAAUGGGCACCCAUGGAACCAGGACAUCUCUGCAUUAAUAAGGACCUGAAAGACACUUAGCUGAAACACCCAUUUUACAGAGGACAGAAAUGUGGCGUAGAAAAUGGGCUCUACUCCAGGGGAGCCACCCACCUUCUGAC